AUGGUGUGUUUAGGUCUUGGCAAGCCAAGGGGGAGGCGUGGUGGGCGGCCCAAAGCCUCAGCUACCGUUACACACAACCAGAUCGGGAACUACCAGCUCACUGAAGAGCUUCCUGCAGCCAGUCUUGAUCCUCAAGUGGAAUUUGAAAAAAACAUGGAGAGUCUCUCUGCUAUGAUGUCUGACUCCCCUGAAAUCCAGAGGGCAUCGUCAUCAUGGACUUUCAGGCAGCAGCAAGCCUCACAAAGAUGGAAGGAGGCAAGGCCAUUCCAUCUUAAGUGCCUCAUCCAAACUCAGGAUGUUGGCCAACCAUUUUGUAGCCAUUGCAGCAAGCCUGCGGUGGUUAAAUGCAGAGAGUGUCUACCAGAUCAGUGGUUCUGUGAAACCUGCGAUACCAAGAAUCACAGGAGAUGGCCACUUCAUGAUAGGGAGUCAGUCCUUGAGGGCUUUUUUAAAGCUAUUCCCCCAUCCACAUAUUUUGUGAGAGGGGAGGGAGGAUACAGCUCACACGACCAAGCUUGUAUUUUGCCAACGGUGAGAGUGACUCAGAAAUGUCCCUGUGAAGUCCCCAGCAUAACUGUGUCACCUGGCAAAGCGGUCAUUUUAAUUUCCAUCAAUGGGCGUUAUGACAUGCACCAGCCAUUGUUUGCAUGUCAAACAUGCCAGCAGCAGUGGGCUCCAGAGUUCAUGGACCUUGUAAACAGUGGAUACUGGCCAGCUUCCACCAGCUCUUCUACUUUGUAUUCCAUCAAUCUUUUCAGCAGUGUAAGAGAAUUGAAAAUCAUUGUGCCGGCAUUGUCCAGACAAGCCUUUGCAAAGCUGCUGGAGCAUCGUACAAAGUGUGGUGGGCGGUCAGGACCAGUGUGCGGGGACACGCUCCAGCGCAGCUUCCUGGAGUUUUCCUAUUGUGCUUUUGAGGAAGAUAACUUGUCCUGCGGUGCACCUUUCACCUGCCCCGCUUGCACCCCAGACAUGCUGGCAAUCUCUGUGGAUGGCAACAGGAAGCUAUACCGGUUUUGCCGAAAUGGAAGCUCCGACUCUUCGUUUUUUGAAGGGGCAUUUAUCGCAGAAGACACAUCUGUGUCUGCAUUUGUUGAUCUCCUGCAUAAAGGUGUGAAACAGCUACCUGGACAAGGCAGAUGUGGGAGCUCCUCGUGGACAGCAGCGAAGGAGACUUCUAGGAGGACCUACAAGAGGACCUACGAAGAGGGCAUUGAGGUUGCAGUGUGUCGGCAUGGUUUCCUCCUUAAAGCGCUUAAUAUGUUUCGAGGUGAGAUUAUAAUAAAUUGUUUGCUGUUGAAUGUAACUUUCUAUUGUUGGUAUUUGUAUAUUGCUUUGGACAAAAGCUAA
rnacentral:lncRNA from 1 species